GGGAAGACCAAUAUUAGCAACAAGAAGCCUCUGCCACCAUGGAAGAAGGAUCUGGAAAGAAGGAUGGGAUCUCAGCCUGAUGGCAGAGUAUUUACAGCCUCUGCUGUUGCUCUGCUUCUAUCUGGUGGAUUAAGGAAAGUCACAACUCACAGCCCUAGUGGAAAGUUACAACUGGGAUUUGAGCUAACGAAGAGUUGAAGACUCAGCAACAGGCGCUUGGCUUCACUAUUAACCUGGACAAGGCCAUUAACUCGCCUGUACUUAAUUGGCUUGUUCUGUGACACACUGUUGCCCCAGAAACACCCAUAUGGGUGUACCCCACAUUAAAGAAGCCCGCUCUAUGAAAA
rnacentral:lncRNA from 1 species